CUGUAAGGUACUCAUUGCAAUCUGCUGCGAUCUUCUUGCUUGACUUCUUGUAGAAAAAUCAAUUCAGAUGCUGGGGAGUUUUGGUCAUUCACCUGUGAACGGCUGAUCUGGUUCUUGCCCCAUGCAAGUUCCUUCAUGCUACUUCUCAGCAAGCUAGGCUGAAGAGUUUGUGUCAGGAAAGCUGUAUGUCUUUUUGCAAUUGGACUUUUUUCUUUUUGAGGUAUUUAUAUUAACAUAUCACAGAAUCAUAGGGGUUGGAAGGGACCUCAGGAGGUCAUUGAGACCAGUGCCCUGCUAAAGCAGUUCCCUACAAUGGGUCACACAGAUUGGUGUCCAGCUGGCUCCUGAAUGUGUCCAUAGAAGGAGACUGCAGCACCUCCCUGGGCAGCCUGUUCCAGUGCUCCACCGCCCUGACCAUAGACAGGUUCUUCUGCAUAUUAGUAUGGAACUUCCUUUGUUCAGUUGUGGGGUUACUGUGAGGUCACGGCUUGAACUGGUGAUGGAGCACCUGUGAGGGAGUGCAGCUGGCCCAGGGUGCACAGGCACAUUGUUUGCACCUGUGCUCCCUAUGCAACCAGAAGGAGUGGACACAGAGUAGAGCCCCAGCUGGGCUCAUAUAAUGGCCAGCCAUGGGAGGGGAAGGUUUCUUGGAUGUGGGCUGCUUCUUGGGAAGGAGUGCUUUGUGGCUGAAGAUCCCCUUCACCAGUAGGACAGGCUUGAAACCAGUUGUCUCAACCUGAUGAUUACCAGGAGCCUGAACAGACACCUUACUGCUCACUUAGAAGUUUGGAAGCAUUCAGACCUGUGCUGGUGGUGUAUUUCCUUCCAUACGACCUCUGACCAGCUAGCAGAUUGUGUUGAGGGUUAAGGAAGUCAGAGGACCACUGCCAUGUAGAAGAACCCUGCCUAACUGACAUCCAGAACUCGGAGCGGCUCCAGCAGAAGAUGUGAUAGCCUUGACCUGCUUCUACCAGGCCUUGCCUUGUGUCCUGGCUUUAAGAGGUUGUGCACAACUGACACUGUCCACAGCAGAGUGAAGCUUUCUUUAAAUGUCUCCAAGUUUUGGAAAACCAAGAGUGCCUUAAGGCCAGUGGCAUCCAGAUGGUGACACAGGGAUUCCUCAUGCGUGGGAAGAGGAGGUCACCACGCUUUCCCUCUUGGGUUUUGAGAUGUCCCUAGGAAAAGCACAGUUAUUAAGUCUGGAUUUGACAGCACAUGGCUAUGGAGAUUCUCUUUCCUAUUCAUUUAGAAGUUCCUCCCCAGUCCCAGCUGUUGCUAUCAGCAGGGGUUUAGCUGAAGAGCUCCGUGCUGCACUGCCUGGACUGUCCCCUACUCAGCAAUAUUUCCCAAGGUAUGUGGUAGUGGGAUCUGCAGCAGGACAACCAAGGCAACCACUCAAAGCUGCCCUGUGGUCUCACGCAUGGAUGCCCAGGGUUGUCUGUCUGUAUGGCCCCCUCUCCAGCAGGCUGUGUGUGCAGAGGGGCACAGCCCCUUGGAUGCAGGUGGCCAGGGCUCUGUGUGUGCUGUCCAUCAACAGUAUGCUUAGGCCUAUGGAUGCUGGACCUUCUAUUUCCCCACCUCUGUAUUUAGGAAACAGAAAAGGUUGAAACGAACCAGUUACCCUUGUAUUUUUGGAGUUUGGAAUGGUGGCCAUUUUAAAGACUGCUUAAAACAGAGUUUAGUGGAGUUGUAUAAAUCUUUGCUUUAAAUCCACUGUAAAUGCGUUACAGAAUUUGCCAAAUGUGCAUUAAAAUAUUUUGCUUCAGAUAUGUCUAUGUCCAACCUUUUGGUUUCUAAGAGCUUUAAUCAGUAAUCUUCAAGUAGGAAGUUAUUCAUCUUUAUUGCCAGGCAGUUCUCAGUGGUGG
ensembl:lncRNA